rnacentral:rRNA from 1 species
AACGAACGCUGGCGGCAGGCCUAACACAUGCAAGUCGAGCGCGCCCUUCGGGGUGAGCGGCGGACGGGUGCGUAACGCGUGGGAACGUGCCCUUCUCUGCGGAAUAGCCUCGGGAAACUGAGAGUAAUACCGCAUACGCCCUUUGGGGGAAAGAUUUAUCGGAGAAGGAUCGGCCCGCGUUGGAUUAGGUAGUUGGUGGGGUAAUGGCCCACCAAGCCGACGAUCCAUAGCUGGUUUGAGAGGAUGAUCAGCCACACUGGGACUGAGACACGGCCCAGACUCCUACGGGAGGCAGCAGUGGGGAAUCUUAGACAAUGGGGGCAACCCUGAUCUAGCCAUGCCGCGUGAGUGAUGAAGGCCUUAGGGUUGGAAAGCUCUUUCAGCUGGGAAGAUAAUGACGGUACCAGCAGAAGAAGCCCCGGCUAACUCCGUG